UACUUAUCUUGCUGCUAUUUCUCAGGAGCAGUCCUUAUGUUAGGCUGAUUCUACAGUCAAUGAGUUCUACAGCUAGAUGUUUGUUGUCUGGCGUCAGCUACUCAGCUUGAUACUCUUGGUCCACAUAUGUCUCCUAGCACGUGAGUUCUUCUGACUCGAUCAAAAUAUUGACCUUGAGUUUUGUCGCACAUAUGACUUGACCCUCUUCGUUCGUGUCCGGUUACAUGUUUGUCAUCCUUGUGUCUCUGGUGUAUGCUCUUGCUGAUGUUCGCAAUGAGACUCGAUUUCGUACAACUGGUCUGUUGUUUUCUUCAGCUUCGGUUUUGGCUGCUCGGUCUUCGUUCUUGCCUUCCCAGCCUGUUGCUCCCGCGCGGUCGUUCCCGUCUUCAGCACAUUCUCCUUCUGGAGAUGGAAAGGGUAGUGGUCUUCAUUGUCAUCAUUGCGGACGUGGACAGGAUGGACAUGUGGAAUCUUUCUGUUACAAGAAAAAGAAUCAACGGCUUGCUCGUCGUUCUUCACAUACUACUAGUAGUUCUAGUGCUGCAGGUUCUCAGAGGAGUUCUACUAAUGCAGCUACCCAGGGGAUGCUCAUGCUCUGUCGCCUUGCUGUCUCUACACCACCGGGAGCCGCUGGUUCAGUAACUCAGUUUUCCGCUUCGACAGGUUAUGUUGUUGCUUCUGGCCUUCUGUCUUCUACCAAGGGACCACCUAUUCUUCUAGGUUCCAUCUCGUUCUCUCACUAUUCAUACAGUUGAUGGUUCCCCUUUGUCUGUUGCUGGACAGGGCACUCUUUUAUCUACCUCGUUUCGUGUUCUUGAAGUUUCUUAUGUUCCUGAUAUCACCAUGCAACUUAUGACCGUCAGUCAACUUAUUGAUCAUGACUAUUGUGUUAUUCUUGAUCCUGAUUUCUAUUAUGUUCAGGAUCGUUCCACGGGUCGUCUGGUUGGUACUGGCCCUCGGCGUCGUGAGUAAUGACUCUCAUCGCCUUUGGGAGCUUGAUUGGCUUCAUCUUCCUUCCACGACACCUGCCAGUUCUGUCGGCUCUGCAUUAGUUGCUUCAUCCAUGUCAUAUUUUGCUCAAUGACAUCAUUGUCUGGGUCAUCUUUGUGGAUCUUAUUUGUCUACCUUGAUUUGUCUAGUUUCCUAGGUUUGGUUUCAGGUCAUAAGUCCUUAGCUUAUUGUUAGGGUUGUCGAUUAGGCAAGCAGAUUAAUCUUCCUUAUCAUUCUAGUGAGUCUAUGUAUGGGCGAUCUUGUUCACUCAGAUGUAUGGGCCCCGGCUCCCUUCGCUUCAAAAGGGGGUCAUCUAUAUUAUAUUAUUUUUAUAGAUGAUUUUUCUAGCCACACAUGGAUUUGUUUUACGAAAAACCGUAGUGAGGCUUUAUCCAUCUAUAAGAUAUUGUCUACUAUGUUCAACACUCAAUUCAACACAUUUAUUCGUGUUUUUGUGUUGAUUCUGCAGGAGAUACCUUUCUGGAGCUCUUUGCAAGGUUCUUGAUACGCAAGAGCUUCAAUUGGUUAAUUUCUUCACCAAGAGACAGAUCAGAGCUCGACAUUGGUUCUAUCUCUCCAAACUCAGUGUUCUUGAUUCACCGUGAGUUUGAGGGGGUGUUAGAUGUAUAUAGAUAUAAAUUUAUGUUUUUUGUAUUUCCCCAUUGUAUAAGGGGCUUAGUGCAUAUGUACCAUCAUGUACCAGUGUAUAUAUAUUGUCAUACUGGCCUUAGAGCCUCGCAUUGAAUACAAGUGUUAUUCAUAACAAUUAUAUACAUAGAAUUUUUACUUGAAGAUGUAAUUUCAGAUGAAAUAAAUUGGAAGGAGACGGAUUGAAUAAGUUCACCAUAAUUUGUUAAUAUGCACAGAACAUUUGCUAGGGUGCAACAAUCUUAAGUAUAUUGAUGAAAGCUGCAAAUAUAUUAUCCUAUAAGGAAACAUGUAGUUCUAAGCUCUGAGUUUUAGUUUUAAAUAGUCGUAACAGAAAAAGGAACCUCAAAAAUAUUCUGUUGGAUACAUUCAGCCAGGUAUUUCUGUUCGAUUGGAAGACUUCCUUGAGUCGUUUCAACAUAGCCGGUCCCAAGCCCGUUAAAGGAGGAGGGUUGUGUUAGGUCCGGCAAACCAACGUAAAAACCAGCCAAAUCUUAUGGAGAUGAAACCACAAAGAAAAUCGUUGGGGCGUAACCCUCUUAGCGACGCGCCAUAUCGGAACCCGGGUAUGGUGUUAAAUGAGCAAGGGCUGGGCCGUCACCCCUUAAGUGACGCGUCGUCUCUUGAUCUGGAGCCGGUGAUAAGUGAGCAAGGAUCGGGUCGUCGCAUCCUUAGUGGCGCACUACAUCGGCGCCCGGGUGUAGUGGAAAAUGAGCAAGGGUCUUUGCAUCUUCCUCGGCGGGUGCGAAGGGUAAGGAAGCUAGUCGAGCCAACUAGGGUCCGUGUAGGUAGUUGGAACGUAGGUUCCUUAACAGGUAAGUUACGAGAAAUAGUCGACGUUGCGGUGAGGAGACGGGUAAAUAUUUUAUGCGUUCUAGAGACCAAGUGGAAAGGACAGAAGGCGAAGGAAGUGGAAGGUACAGGCUUCAAGUUGUGGUACACGGGGACUGCAGCAAACAAGAAUGGAGUAGACGUCUUGAUCGACAAGAGCCUUAAAGAUAGGGUAGUAGAUGUUAAGAGGCUAGGAGAUAGAAUCAUCCUAGUCAAACUGGUCAUUGGGGACUUGGUUCUCAAUGUUAUCAGCGCGUAUGCUCCUCAAGUAGGCCUUAAUGAGAACUCAAAGAGGGAGUCCUGGGAAGGCCUGGAGGACAUGGUUAGUAGUGUGCCAGUUAGCGAGAAGCUCUUCAUAGGAGGAGAUCUCAAUGGCCAUGUGGGUACAUCUAGCACCAGUUUCGAGGGUGUGCAUGGAGGCUUCGGCUUUGGGACUAGGGAUCAAGAAGGAGAGGAAAUCCUGAACUUUGCCCUAGCCUAUGACAUGUUUAUAGCAAACACUUUCUUUAGGAAGAGGAAAUCCCACCUGGUGACCUUUAGUAGUGGCCAACACACUAGCUAGAUUGAUUUCGUCCUCUUGAGAAAAGAGGACAGGCAUGCCUGCUUAGAUUGCAAGGUUAUACCUGGAGAGUGUGUGGUAACCCAACAUAAGCUUGUCGUAGCUGACUUUCGUUUUAAGAUUCGUUUACAACGGAAUAAGCAUAACAAGGUCAUUAGAACAAAGUGGUGGAAGCUUAAAGGGGAUGUGGCCCAAACUUUCAAGGAGAGAGUUAUCGAGGAGGGCCCUUGGGCAGAAGAGGGAGACGCAAACAUCAUGUGGAGGAAGAUGGCGACAUGCAUCCAAAAGAUAGCUUCAGAAGUGUUUGGGUUGAGUCAAGGAAACAGAAGGGAAGUUAAAGACACUUGGUGGUGGAACGAAGAUGUCCAACAGGCUAUCAAGGAGAAGAAAGAUUGCUACAAACGCUUACAUCAUGACAAGUGUGUAGACAACAUAGAGAAGUAUAGGAUAGCGAAGAAGUCUGCAAAGCGAGCGGUUAGUAGAGCCCGAGGUCAAGCCUAUGACGACCUUUAUCAACGGUUGGACACAAAGCAGGGAGAAAAAGAUAUCUAUAGGAUGGCCAAGAUUCGUGAAAGGAAGACAAGGGAUGUCAACCAAGUCAAAUGCAUCAAGGAUGAAGCAAACCAACUAUUAGUGAAGAAUGAAGAGAUCAAGAACAGAUGGAAGGAGUACUUCAACAAAUUGUUCAAUGGAGGGAAUGAGAGUUCUACAAUAGAAUUGGACGAACCAUUCGAUGACAACAACAGGGGUUUUGUACGAAGGAUACAAGAAUAUGAAGUUAAGGAGGCGCU